CGAACGGCAGCACGGAGCGCCAUCCCCCGCCCCGGAGAUGGCGCUUGGUCACGUCCAUACUCCGGCAGCUCCGGGGACAGCUACUCCACACCGGGCCCCGCGCACUGCAACGCCCGUCCUGCGGACAGGGAGCCGUUCGCGCGGAGCCACUGGGCUCCGCACCGCGGAAAAUCUGGGGCCCACAGGGGAAGCGCGUCUCCCCGAACACAAAGUAAUAAUAGUGGGACUUGACAAUGCAGGAAAGACCACCAUUCUUUACCAGUUCUUAAUGAAUGAAGUGGUCCACACAUCUCCAACCAUAGGAAGCAAUGUUGAAGAAAUAGUAGUAAAAAAUACCCAUUUCCUUAUGUGGGAUAUUGGAGGACAGGAGUCAUUACGGUCAUCAUGGAAUACCUAUUAUUCAAAUACAGAGUUCAUCAUUCUCGUUGUUGACAGCAUUGACAGAGAACGACUUUCUAUCACAAAAGAAGAACUUUACAGAAUGUUGGCUCAUGAGGAUUUACGGAAGGCUGCAGUUCUCAUCUUUGCAAAUAAGCAGGACAUGAAAGGUUGUAUGACAGCUGCUGAAAUAUCUAAAUACCUCACCCUUAGUUCCAUAAAGGAUCACCCAUGGCACAUUCAGUCCUGCUGUGCUUUGACUGGAGAAGGAUAUAAUGACACCUUAAGUGUAUCUUCCCCUUGACUGACUUCUGGAUCUUCCUUACAGCUGAGUCCACCAGCUUUAGUGUCUGUAAUACCCAGAUUAUGCCAAGGUCUGGAAUGGAUGACCUCCCAUAUUGGAGUGAGAUAACUUGUUGCAAAAGAGACUGCAUCUGUUUAUUCUGUGAACAUGAACAUUUUCCUGGUACUUCUGGUUGCUACGGUAGCGACCAUGUUUAAUUUAUAAUGACAGAAACCUCUGAGCAGCACUUGAAUCAAGUGCAACUGAACUGAAACACAAAGUAUUUUUAACUUUUUUAAUGCACUGCUCUUCCACAGGAUGAACAUGUGAAUCUGUUUCAGUAUCAAAGUUCUCCUGGCUAUUCUAAUUUUUCAGUGGUUGCCUUGUAAGAUAUCUUUCAUCAUGGAAAAUCUUUCACACUUGAUUUUUGUAAUGAUGCAAACUAUUUCUGUAAUUUACUACCAUAGAUAAAUUUCUUCAUUAACACUGGGGAAAAAAGGUGAAUAGAUUGAUGUUAACCUAGGAUAGCUUUAAUGAUUUCAAAAGAUUGGGCUAUGGCUAUCUCCAAAGCAGGUUUUAGGUAUGUUAAGAAUUGUAAUAGUCAGCAUUGAAACAGUUAUUUAUGGUUGAUAUGCUCUUUUCCCCCCCUUCACGCCCCCCCCCCCCAAUAUGUGUAACUGAAUUUCUGCCUUAAAAGAAAACAUGCCCUUUUUUAUUCCCAUGUAAGGUAAGUAGUUCUGGGUCAUUUUUUUACCUGAAAACACAACUUUGCCGGGUGGAUAAAAAUUGAGUUUUUAUUUAAUUAAAAUGCAUUUUUCUUUUUAAAAAUGAACCAGUUUAAAAAUUUGAAAUUGACAACAUAUUAAGUGCUAAAUUUAAUGUAAUCUUUUUAAAAACAACAAGGAGUCUGGUGGCACCUUAAAGACUAACAGGUUUAUUUGGGCAUAAGCUUUCGUGGGUAAAAAAACCACUGAAGUGGUGGGUUUUUUAACCGACGAAAGCUUAUGCCCAAAUAAACCUGUUGGUCUUUAAGGUGCAACAGGACUCCUUGUUGUUUUUGUGGAUACAGACUAACAUGGCUACCCCCUCAUACUUGUAAUCUUUUAAAAUCGCUUAAAGAAAAAAAUUCUGCAUCCUAUAUCCAAUAAACGUAAAUAGUUUUAUUUAACUAAGAAACAACUUUAAAAUGCUGUUUUUUAUAUUUGUAAUUUAAUUCCAGUUUCCAAAUACAGCUUGACACAAAUCCAGAGCAAAAAACAUCUAGUAAAUAAAUACUUCAUUCAUCAUUUUCUAACAAUGUACAAAUUAAGAAUCUGAGUAAAUGUACGUUAAGCGAUAUAAUUGUUUAAAUGAAUGUGUAUAUCCUCCUGAUUUAGCAAAAAAGUACCAAAUUUAGUGUUGACUAUAUUUGAUUAAACAUGUUUUAAUGGUUAUACCAACCAAUAAGAAUGAACCUUUCUUUAGGGAAGAAAACUAAAAGUACAAAUACAAAACAAGAUUGAAUUCCUGCUUGCUGAUUAAAAUAAGGGACUUAAAUCACUUCGAUUUAAAUCAGUGCACCCUACAGCUUUAUAAACUACGACUGUGGUAAAACUACAGUGACUAUACUGAAUGUGAAAUGUACUGAUACGUUGCACUAUAUUUUAACAAUGCAAAUGUAUAGUGAAAAUAUUACACACUAUUUCCCACAGAGACACUUAUCAAAUCUGAGCUGGUUCUUGUUUAGCUGCGUGCGUUAGAAGAUAGUAGUCCUGUGCUGAAGCAUAGCAUACUAGAAUGAAACAUUUUAGCAUCCCUACAGGACAGACUUAAUUUUCUCAGCCAGAGAGAAAAUUAAUAGUAAGCAUUCUUGACAAUAGAAAUAGAAAAUCCACUGCUUCGUUUCCUACAUCAAUUUUCAUAUUGUUUUCCAUAAUAGCCAUUGUCACCCUCACAAUGUUACUUUAGAAAUGAAGUGUUUGGUCUGGCAAACACGCUCAGGUAUAGUGCUUUGCUACCUGAGUUGUCCAUUUGGGUUUAAAAAAAUAUCAGUUGAAAGCCCUACAGCAAGUUAGAAUAUCUCAACCAUCUUCUAUUUAUGCUGUUCAUAAUGAUACCAUUCAGUACAUUACAAUUCACCUAUCUGUAGUGAAUGUAAUGCUGGUAAUGUUUGCAGUUUAAAAAUAUUUCUUAGCAGUUAAUACAUUGGCUGUAAGGAAUCCUCAUUCAGCAUUUCAGUGACAUACUAAACUGUACAACAGUCAUAUCUAAGAAAUGGCAUUAUAGGUGUUUCCACAUAAUCACUUAAAUUUUAGCUAAAAAUGAUUAAAGUACAGUUUGUUGUGAUGCAGUAUAUUACCUAACGUAUGGUACAUGCAACAGUAUUUUGCUUUUCUCAGACUAAAAUCCAUUAUUUAACAAAUAAUGGACCUGAUUUUUAAGAGAAGCAUCAGUGGUGCUUUGUUCACCAACACUUUUGAAUGUGCUCAUGCAAAAUGUAUGCAGUGACCAGAAAUGACCAGUAUCUGAAAAUCAGGCCAUAUUUUAAAAUAGUUCUUAUGAAUCUUAAGCUUUUCUGUUAUGUAUAAAUAAAACUAAGUUGGUUAAGAUUAAAUUUUACAUUUCUACUCAAAAUACUGGGUUUCCUUCUGUGAGGCGUUCCCAAGAUUUUUACACUGUUACAGCUAGUAUUAAAUCUCACCUUACUUUUUUUUUUUUUUAAAUUUUUAUCAGAACUUUUUUCUUAAAGAGUGUAAUGGAAAAUGGGCCUGUCACCAAGCAGGGCUUCUCUCCAACUCCCAAAUGUACGUUGUCAUGCCCAGUCUCUUUCAAGGGGGUUUAUUUUCUUAAUAGAAGCAAGGAAACGAACAGAAAAACAGUCUUUUAAGUCAGUCCUCACUUUCAGGUUUCAGCUGUGCCCCUCUCGGGCCUCUGGCAGCUUCCCAGUUCUGACCAGCUCUGUUCCCAGUCUAGGACAGCAGCCUCAGGGCUGUCUCUCUGAGCACCUGGUCCCUUGCUACAGGGGACCUACCACCAGAGUUAGCUCAACUCCAGUGUGUGUCUCUCCCCUGAGGCACAGCCUGUCCUAAUCAGUCACCACCUUCCUGCCCAAUGGCAGUGCUUUAUAGGCUGAUGUGUAGCUCAGCCCCCUUUAACUGGCUGAUUGGACUCACCUGCCCUGAUCCAGGGGAGCUGGGCCUAGUCUAUCUACAGGGGCCAGCUACCCUAUGACAGAGCCCUUCUUACAUAAUUAGUACUAGAUAAAGCAAGAAAUAUGUAAAUUGCCAUCGGCAUAAAGUAUACUCCCCGUCUUCCUCCAAAGUAACUUUUUCUCUUUUCAAUAAUGUAGGGGCAAAUGAACGUCUCUGUAUUAGGGGAAAACAUUACUUUUUUCUAGAAAAAAGAAGGCAUUCACCAUUUCUGUCACACCAUUUAUCAUACCAAGAGAAGUUAGAAAAGUAGGUCAUUUUUGGUUGAGAGAAUGGAAAGGCUUCAUUUCACCCGUCCCCAUAGUGCACAUGCAAUAUAGUCUAUUUGAAUGUAAGUGUUUUAUAUCAAAAUGAUGUAUUGGCAUCACUGGAUUUUUUUAAGUAGUUCAUUAGCUUUUGGUAAACUAAACUGUUCAGGCAGACUAAAAAAUGUGUAUUUUGACCUUAUCUUUAUCUCCGGUCUUGAAAAUAAAAUUCCAUGCCCAAAUUAGUGUCCUUUCCGUGUUAGAUUUAUGAUGGAAGCUUAAAUACAUUCUGGGGUAGAAAGGCUGUUGGACUUUAAGAAGGUCACUUUUCCUUGUUAAGUGUUCAGUUUUGAAGUUUUACUUUUUAAGAAAAUAUUUGUACAGAUAACUUCCGCUAGUAGUUUUUUUCCCCCUGCAAAACAGGUUUACUGUGACCUAUUGUACUUUACUUUAGAAUAGUUGCUACUUAAGAAAAUAUGGAUACUAUCUAAACCAUUAAUUCGUUAUAAAUGUACAUGAAUGUUCAUUGGCAUGAGCUUUGUAAAUACAGAAUUGCUGAAUGCCUUGCAA